UACAGAGGGUGCGAGCGUUGUCCGGAAUCACUGGGCGUAAAGGGCGCGUAGGCGGCUUUAUAAGUCGGGGGUGAAAGCCUGUGGCUCAACCACAGAAUUGCCUUCGAUACUGUAGAGCUUGAGACCGGAAGAGGUAAGUGGAACUGCGAGUGUAGAGGUGAAAUUCGUAGAUAUUCGCAAGAACACCAGUGGCGAAGGCGGCUUACUGGUCCGGUUCUGACGCUGAGGCGCGAAAGCGUGGGGAGCAAACAGG
rnacentral:rRNA from 1 species